GGAAACCUGCUGAGGUAAGGUCUAGCCAACCGCCUCGUACCGAGUCCUUGGAACCGAAGUGGUGACAUUAGGUUUAAGCGUAGGACAGGGAGCAACCGAGCCGAAACGCAAGUGAAGUGAUAGAGCUGGGAAAUGAUUAUCUAGAGGGAUUAGGUCGAUGCGCUCGUAUACGUAGCAGACAAUACUGUUUGAAUCGAUAUGGCAAUGAGUCAAAUGGCUACCCCCGAUCGGAGAGCU
rnacentral:ncRNA from 1 species